rnacentral:rRNA from 1 species
AAGAGAUAAUGGCUAUAAUGCAGUCGUACGCACUGGCCCAACUGAUUGAUGGUGCUUGCACCUGAUUGACGAUGGAUCACCAGUGAGUGGCGGACGGGUGAGUAACACGUAGGUAACCUGCCCCGGAGCGGGGGAUAACAUUUGGAAACAGAUGCUAAUACCGCAUAACAACAAAAGCCACAUGGCUUUUGCUUGAAAGAUGGCUUUGGCUAUCACUCUGGGAUGGACCUGCGGUGCAUUAGCUAGUUGGUAAGGUAACGGCUUACCAAGGCGAUGAUGCAUAGCCGAGUUGAGAGACUGAUCGGCCACAAUGGAACUGAGACACGGUCCAUACUCCUACGGGAGGCAGCAGUAGGGAAUCUUCCACAAUGGGCGCAAGCCUGAUGGAGCAACACCGCGUGAGUGAAGAAGGGUUUCGGCUCGUAAAGCUCUGUUGUUGGAGAAGAACGUGCGUGAGAGUAACUGUUCACGCAGUGACGGUAUCCAACCAGAAAGUCACGGCUAACUACGUGCCAGCAGCCGCGGUAAUACGUAGGUGGCAAGCGUUAUCCGGAUUUAUUGGGCGUAAAGCGAGCGCAGGCGGUUGCUUAGGUCUGAUGUGAAAGCCUUCGGCUUAACCGAAGAAGUGCAUCGGAAACCGGGCGACUUGAGUGCAGAAGAGGACAGUGGAACUCCAUGUGUAGCGGUGGAAUGCGUAGAUAUAUGGAAGAACACCAGUGGCGAAGGCGGCUGUCUGGUCUGCAACUGACGCUGAGGCUCGAAAGCAUGGGUAGCGAACAGGAUUAGAUACCCUGGUAGUCCAUGCCGUAAACGAUGAGUGCUAGGUGUUGGAGGGUUUCCGCCCUUCAGUGCCGGAGCUAACGCAUUAAGCACUCCGCCUGGGGGAGUACGACCGCAAGGUUGAAACUCAAAGGAAUUGACGGGGGGCCCGCACAAGCGGUGGAGCAUGUGGUUUAAAUUCGAAGCUACGCGAAAGAAACCGUUACCUGGGUCUUGACAUCGUUGCGCUAAACCGUUAGAGAUAAGGCGUUUCGCGUUCGGGGGACGCAAAUGACUAGGUGAUGCCAUGAUUCGUUCGUUCAGCUCGUGGUCGUGGAGAUGGGUUGGUGAGUCCUCUGCUAACGUAGCGGCUAAUCGCGCGUUGGCUUAC